UUUUUUCUUCUCAUCCACUGAAAUCAGCUGCAGAAGCAGAAAGAGUCUCUGCACCCCUUGGGAAUGCUUGUUGGUGAUAUAAGCAAAGGCACAGAAUUACACAGAUGAGGAUGAAAAAAGGCAACAGAUUUCCCUGUGGCAUCUUUCUGUGCUUCUGCUGCAACAAUUAAGUUAACGUGUCACAUCUGCUAUACAUCCUAAUGAGGGGAAAUAGGAAGGAUUCUGACCCAAUUCAUCCAAGAAAAAGAGAUCUGAGAUGCUCGUUUCUAUAGCCCUAGAAGCAAAAGCCAUUAUUACAGCUGAGUACUAGUCCAGACUCAUCCGGACUCAGUUGUGAAGAAUUUUGCCAUCAGGAAGACCUCACACGGUCUGACUACAGAUGUUCUCAAAACAGCAGAUCUUCAUGCAAGUCAUAACUACGCUACGGUCAUACUAGGUGAGAAGAAUGCAUGGUUGAUAACAGAUACAUACAUUUUUAAUGCUGUUUAUCAAAAAGGAGUAUGCCAUCAGUGCAUAGGGCAAAGGCUCUCAGUGGUGUUUAAUAAGAUCAGCUUUAUACUUUACUGUGAAAUUGAGAUAGAAUUCAUUGCUGAGGACAUGGUCAAUGUGAGGAUAAGAUUGUGCCUUGCUGAAAUAAGAACUGGAGGGAAGAAAAUAUAAAGGGAAGUACCAGCAGUAUCCAAAUGAAAAUAGGCUUUUUAGCUUUAGUUUUUGGGAAAGUAGAAUACCUUAUUUUGAUUUGGAGCAGAUUCACCACUCGGCUAAAACUUCAGACUGAAGAUCUCCUCUUGACCCAUUAGAACAUGAUAAAAGACUUCACAGGGAGCUGAAACAGCCAUUGAAAUCCAAACUUCAUUAUCAUUUACUUUCCCACAGUGAUCACCCCGUAACAAGAGACAGUGUCCUUGCAGGCUGUACCGCUUGCCAGGAUAGCGCUGCCGCCUGUGCAAGCUCCCUGCGUCACCAUCCUCUAGGGGCGAGUUCAUGGGAGCAGAAAGUCUCACCCUGGUGAAAAUCUGUCGAGAUGCCUUUCAGCUCAGUUACGGUAGCCCUCUCUGCAGCACGUAUCACAGUUGGAGUCAACUGGGCAUCUAACUGCCCGGUGUGGGCAAAACCAGCAGCAAUACUCUUGCACUCAUUCAUGUUCCUUUCUGUUCAUUAGUUGUUUCUUUAUCACUUCUGAAGGCUCAGUCUGACCUUCUAACACAGAAACUGAGACUGCAAUAACUUGUAAAGCACCGGGAGGAAAGCCACAGCGUGGUGGUUUGUCAGACUGUAAUGUCCUAACUCAGUUUCUCCUCCAGAAGGGGUGAUUUCAUUCCCAUUAUCAACAUAUCUUCUAAAUUCGUGCUAAACUAAUACUUUAGUAAACUAAUACACCCCUUUUAUGUAAUUUUUUAUAUUUCACAGACUGAGUAUCCCAAACUUUGUUUGAGUCCCAAAUGUUAUGUUCCUGUCCCUGGAGGUUUAAUUUCCACUGCCUGAAGCAGUAAUGCCCCACAUGCAUUUCAUUUUUUUUUUUAUUUAUUUUUUUCCCCUCUGUUUUUCACUUGCCAGUGCAUACAAAUGAAAACCUAGGUAAACCUUUUCAGGAUGCUAAUGGAUAACUCUGAAGUUCCCACGACAGUGCUAGCAGGGUGCUAAGCUAUGAGGAGAAAAGGAGGAAAUUAGCCUGUCACUCUGGGAAAGCAAUGCCUACUGAUACAAGGAGCAGUCUAAUCUCAGUAGCCUUUCCAAACAGUUUACAUGAAAAAACAACAAACAGAGAGAAAGAAGAAAGAAAAGGAUUUCUGUUGUAAAUUGACAGGAAUGACUGUAUUGGGUUUCUGCUGAUGAGAUCUCUUUGCAGCAAAGGGUUAGAAGGAAUAAAAAGAGUCAUUAUGCCUUAUUGGGGUGAGAG
ensembl:lncRNA